GCUCUUCACAGAGUUACCAUUUGUGCUGUUAAGCUUCUUCUUAUCUUUGUUUAUUUAUUAUGCCAAUAUAUUUCAAGCCUUUGAGUUAGAACACCUUUGCAUGCACGUGUUUUCUUCUCUAAAAGAUUGUUAAAAUUGUUUGCUGGAUAUAUGAAUUUGCAUCUUGUUUGGACCUUUCCAGUAGCAGAGCCCUCAGACCUUGCAGGCGAAGGUUGGAAACCAUCGGUCAGGGCUGUGCGCAAGGGAACAGCAGUGAUCUGCAGCAGCUGUUUGUCCAAGCCCGGAAAGGAGUAGUGGUAAAGCAAAUUAAUUCAUUUGUCAGCUCCGUGCGUUUUGUUUAAUGCACGUGCCAGCAGUGAACCACAUCAUUUCACUGUGAUCCAGCUAUUUUGUGAUAAUGUGAUGAUGUUCCUCUAAUGCUUAUUGGAAAUAUCCUUAAAAGGUACGGUGGGAAAAUAAUUCUUCGGUUUGCUUCUCCUGCUGGGUUUUACUUCCUUCUGUAUUGUUCCACUCUGAAGCCUCGAUGUUAAGCCAGACACGAUCCCUCAGACUGGGUCUGGGUACCUCUGCUGUGCUCCCGGUGCUGCGCGCCCGGGGGACACGGCGCUGCUCCAGCAGGGAGCCAGGGCGAGGAGCAGGAUAAUUAAUAUUGGUAUGCGAUUGAGAUGAACAAACUGGCAAGCUGGGUGGCUUCCCCACAAGAAGAGGCUACAGUCCUACCUGUGCGUGAAAGAACAAGACUUUACUCAUUCAGUGAAUCUACUCUUAAUUGGUUUGCUCUUCAUAUAAAAUAUGCCAAGGAUUUUUCAGUUUUUUCCAAGCAAAGAAAUACACUGGUAUUGUAAAUAUGUCUGUUUGCUACAGCAGUGCUGUCCCACAUCCACACAACUCAGCAUUUAGUGCACUGGACUGCCAGCCUGUAGAAGUGCUCCAUAGUCUACAGCAUGCUGUAGUGAUACUAGUUCCUGGCUAAUCUCUUCAAAAUAUGUCAUUACAGGUGGUUUUGGACAGCUGUAAUUUUCCUGCACUGAGAGAGGCCUUUCAGCAUUGUCUUCAAUCAGCAUUUUGAAUGAAGUGCUUAAUUGUGCCAAAAAUUCAUUGCAAUAUGUAAGCAGUUCCAGAAGACUAGUUUCUUACAGUUUCCUCUCAUGUCUUUUAUUACUAGACAUAUGGUUCUGUAGUGUAUAAUGCAACUACUCUCAUUCAGCUUCUUUUGACAUUUGUUCCUAUUCAGUUUAAAAUUGCAGUAUUUGACACACUACACGAUUACAGGAUUUCAUUAUGUUGUCAGUCAUUUUUUGUUUAGAUGAACAAAUCAUUAACAAUUACUUCCCUUUUAUCCAUAUCUUCAAAGACAGGAUAUGGUCCUUCCUUUUGUGAUCCAUCAGCAGCUGAAGCAUUCCUGAAAGGAAACCUGUUGAACAUACAUGGUUGGUUUUUGAAUAAGUUAUUAUCAAAGCCAGUAAUUACAGUGCCUAGAAAAGCUAGACACAUCAAAUGUAGCUCAGUUCCUGAAUGAAUACAUAUUUUUUGUGGGUUUCGAGAUCACAUUUUAGAUAUUUAUCUCACUGUCCUUUUAAAGAAAUGUUUCACAAGUUUAAACAAAUGCCAAGCUAAUAAUUUCCUUCUUAUGCUGAGUAGCACCUAAGUACCUUUUCAUAUCUUAAGACUUACUCCCUCUGGAAAAUUAAUUUAAAAGACAAAUAGUUCUGAGUUCUGAUACUUUAUAUGCAAACUUUUAGUUGUUGUCAGGCUGUUGUUGCAGAAAUUUAAAUUCCCCAGGAUGAAAGUGCUGACAGACACUAAGCAACAAAAUUCCAAAACACGAAAGCCAGAAAGAUAAAUUGCCAUUGUGCCCCUCCAUGUAUUAUCCUUCCUUUCCUAUUGUAGGGUUUGGCAAGAGUGAGUUGAGCCCUCUAUUGGUUUUGAAAAAGGGCAUUUUUCAAAUCCAAAGCAAAACAACUCCUGUAAGCUGAACACUCUGUAAUAGCAACUGUGAUGAAACUAAGGAGACAAGAAAGAACUUUCCACAGAGAUUUUUCUGGUGGAAAAUGGCAGGAAGAAAUAAGACACUUGAGAAGUUGUUGAGACAUUGGUCCCCAAAACAUUUUAGAUAUGACUGAUAUGUCUGGGGUAUUUUCUUCUGUCUUGCUGACAUGGUUGGAAAUCUGCAAAGGCAGCAUCCUACAUCUCUCUCAGAGGGAUGGAACAGUAGAAAGAUAUCUCAGGUGGUACAUUGUCUGCAUAUCACUGUACACAUUCCACCCACAGAAUCUUCCUGGUUUCCUCUAAAGAUUUAGCCCAUCAGAAGGUGUUGGCAUCUCUCUUUUCAGUUGCUAAGUUGCUUUUACAAGGCAGUUAAAAACAUAUUAAAUACUUUCCUAAAAUUAUUUUUCCAUGCAGGCAACUGCUGUAUUUGGCACAAAGAUAUUAUAUGAUCAUUAAUGGGAAGUGAAACUGAGCCAGUUUCUCUUCAAAGUGUGGCCAGCCCUGUGGGACAAUUUGAGAACUCCUGUUUCAAAUAUGUUUAGUUGUUUAGAAACUGCUUUGGUGUUAUUCACCUCCUGACACUGACACUUUGCUGUGCAUAGCUGAGAUUCUUGCAUAAUUUAACAGAGUCAUCUCAGGUGUCUCCCACUCUGUUCCCAGCGUUCAAGCUGUGUUCUCUGGGUUGUGGCAUACAGUUUAUGGUACAUUACAUUUACUGAAGAGUUUAUGCGAAUUGCUUAUUUAGAAAAUUUUCUAGAAGACAGGUUGGAUGGGGUUUUUUUUCAAUCACAUCUAUUUGAUUUACUCCAAAAAUACUUAUGACAGCUCUCUUCGUCCGAGUUUAUUUCCUUGGUUUUUCUCUGAUAUGAAUAUAAACAAUAUUAUUCUAUUUUUUUAUCUCAAAUUUCAACAUUGUUGGUGCAAGUGAAAUAAAUAGUCAUCAAAAUUUUCUUCUGUUUCAUUUUAAAUACUUGCUUAUUUUUUAGUGUUACUGUUUCAUCUUCAUAUUAUUCCAGCAGACAGGCUUGUGGAUAGCACAAAGGACUGGCUAAAUGGAACUGGAACCAGCAAAAUAUCUGUUUCAGUCAUUGCAAACUGAGGAUACUGGAAAAUAUAAUGUUUCAGUCAUUGCAAAUCAAGGAUACUGGAAAAUAUGUUAAAAUGGUUUCAUUUAUUAAAGGCAUAUUUAGUUUAUUUUCUCA